rnacentral:sRNA from 1 species
UUCUGUAAUGCUACUGGUGUCCCCUAAUUUUAUUAUAGCCACAGUUCCUUUCGCCUGAGCUCAUUACAGAGACAAAUAUCCAUU